UGGGUUUCGACUGCUGAAUCGUUUGAAAUAUUCCUACUGGAUUAUGACCUUGCUUCAAAUUAUGGUCAUCGGACUUAUAGAGCAGGAGUUCGCAAUGAUUCACGACAAUACUGGUACUUCAGCAUCCCCAAGCAAGACAACCAUGUGUCCUUCACUUCGGUACCAAAGAUUCUUCGAGCAUAAUGGAGCUUCUGCGGUUCAUGCAAGGGCAAAAAUAAUUUGUUGCUAGCUGCCCUCUUUCGUUGUCUGGCCGAUCAAGAUUAAGUCUCAGUGAUCAUGAUUUAGGUUUCAUGCCGUGGGAGGUGAUCUCCGGUGUUACGAAUAACUAAUGGUAGUGCAUCUUAAGCUUGAUACUGCAAGUAAACAAACACCAGUCUGCUGACAAUGAAGUAAUAUAUUUAGAAUAGUUGAUGCUCAUAA